rnacentral:rRNA from 1 species
GGGUCCCUACGGGGCGCAGCAGUAGGGAAUUUUCGUCAAUGGGCGCAAGCCUGGACGAGCAAUGCCGCGUGAACGAGGAAGGUCUUCGGAUCGUAAAGUUCUGUUGAAGGGGAAAAAGAGCGGAGUGAGGAAAUGGUCUCCGAUUGAUAUUACCCUUCGAGGAAGUCACGGCUAACUACGUGCCAGCAGCCGCGGUAAUACGUAGGUGGCGAGCGUUAUCCGGAAUGGUUGGGCGUAAAGGGUGCGUAGGCGGCCUGCUAAGUCUGGAG